AGAGCUUCCAGAGAGCGGCAACGUGGUGUUCAACACACAGACCUGGGUGUUUUCAUCCAAGAUGGUCUGAGACGCUGGGAUUUUCCUCUGUGCUAUUGAAACACAAGGCUGGAGGACAAGGGGAUUGAUCCAUUAAAAGUGCGAUAUUAAGUGCUUCACAGUUGAUUUUCUGAAGAAUGAAAAAAAGAAGAGGAAGAAAAAAAAUCACUGAAUCAUCACUGAAGAGUUGUAUUCAUCAUUGUCUGUAAAUUGCAUUUUUAAUGUGUUUUGAAAAAUUUAGAUUUAGAAGAUGAGCUUGAUGACUUUUUUUAUUUAUUUUUUAUUUCUACCUUGAGAUAUUAUUUUCAAGAGAGUGUGAGAAAUUUGUCCCUCCUGUUAUCUGAGCAAACAUUCAUCUCUGCUAAAUCAACUGUGCAUGUUAACUGCAUGUUAUGCAAAUAUGUGGAAAUGAGUAGUUUGGAGGCAGUUCGAUAUGAGCGAGAGACUGGAGAGAUAACGUAACUAGAAGAGUCACCGACUGUGAAAGACAGUUGGAAAGUGAGAAAGUGAGGUUUAUGUGUGCCUCCCCAGCCCACCCCUGUGCGUCCACAGUGGCAGCGAAUGCUGUAAUCUCAUUAUUCUGCUCUGGGAGGCUGGCUGUCGGCCCUGGAACUACGAUUUACACAUGGCAUUUCAACAGGGAGGGGAGGGCCUGCUAUCGAUGAAGCGCCCUGUGACAUUUAUCCAUUUGACACGUUCCUCUCUCUCUCUCUUUCUUUUUCUAACUUACAUGCACAAACACCAAAUGUGGUUGCCAUUUCACUAGAACCAUAACACAGCUAUAUAAUGUUUAUUGGCACUAUAGUUUUAGCCAGCAUCAUAGGGAUUUCAACAAACUAAGAGAUAAAUGAAUAUUUCACCCCAAAAUGUAGAAGUCUUGUUGAUGAACCAUGUUGAUGUCAAGAAACGUAAUGACAGAAAUUUUACACAUCUGGGAAAACUAAAGAAAUAAGGGUGCUAUAUUGUUUUGUGUUCCACAGAAGAAAGAUAACCAUAUAUGUUAUACAGGUUUGGAAUAACUUAUGACAGAGUAAAUAUGACACAGAGUUGAUUAUAUUUUUUAAAGAUGCUGCAUGUCCUGAGUCGCAGAACUUAUAUUUUCUUUGGAAAAUGUAACAUUUUAGUUUUUAAAUCGUAAUCUGACUAAAGUAAUAAAAAAUGAACUCACAAUGACCUCACAGAAAUUCUGCUUUUACUCUUCUGAGCUCUGCACAACUCUGCAAGUCUUCUCCAUUCUUUUCCAAAACACUGCUAAUUUUACAUUAAUAUUAAAGCAGAUGCACAGACUUUAAAGGAUAUUUAAACCAAAGAGCCAAUUACCGUCAACAUACUGCUUCAGAAAACCUGUCAUCUGACUUUUCUCUACAAUAAGUACAUUCAUAUUGACCUGAUUUUAUGGCAAAGGCAAUAAUGUGUCCAUAACCACUCGGAACUGACAAAUACAUUAAUCUCCACUCUCCUGCAUUUCGUUUCACUGCUGACAUAGCUAUUUACUGACAGUUAGUGGUAUUUCAGCAUUAAUAAUGGAAAAGAUG